UUAUCUGCUGCAUUCCCCCAUUUCAAUGGAGGCUAUGAAAUGGGCACAUUUACCAAGCUCUGGAAUAUGAGCUUGGCUCUGGUAGCUAACACUAUCUGGGUAUAUGGGCUACUAUUUAGCAUUUGUUACAGAGAGGGAUCUUCCCUGGUGGCCGUGUGAUGCAUGGGAAGUCCUACAGCUGAACCUGCCCAUUGAGCUGAACUCGGAAGCAAAUUGGCAGCAGUAAAUGGGAUGGAAUACUAUCGGAUCCCAUGUCCUGCUCAACUCAAUAGGAAUGGAAGUCAAAAGGAGAAGGCCAAACUGGCAGAGGAUGGGGGAGUGGACGAUUGGAGGCUCAUGCAUGGUCGACGAAACACUGGCACAUCCUGCAGACCGAUAAAGAUUUGGAACAAAUAUUACCAUCCCGAGUCCAAUCCAGCUGGAGGAAAUCACGGAACAUUAAAGAUCAUCUGGUUCAUAGUCACAUGUCAGAAAUCAACACUAAAACCAGCAUGAAUGGAUGUAUAAGUUGCGGGCACUGCCAAUACAUGACCCCUAUGAAAGGAUUUGUGGACAAAGUCAAGAAAAAAUGGACCAUAUCAGGUCUAAUUACAUGUACAACUGUAGGCACAGUUUACCAUCUAGAAAGCCCACGUAAUAAACCUUAUAUUGGCAAGACAUCAUGACCUUUGAAGGUCCAGAUCUUGGAACACGUGGGCAAUAUUCGUAAUGCCAACAGAGAUUCAGCGAAAUUCAAAACCCUUUCCCCUGUUGCAAGGCAUUUCCAGUAGCACCACCACAGUUCUCCAAGUGGUUUGAGAGCCUUUGGGAUGAGACAUAUAAAUUUGGGCAUACGAAGAUGUGACUUAGACCAAGAACUCCUCAAGUUUGAAAUUAAAAUGAUCUUCCUGAUGGAAAGCAUACAUCCAAAGGGUCUGAAUGAACUUAAUAGUUACAGUCCAUUUCUGUAGAGCAUUACCAUUUAGUCCAAUCCAAUAUGUAUCCAGACAAGUAGAAAUUAUCUUCCUACACAUUGAGGGUAUAUUGGUUGAACCAUAGGGAUCAAAAGUCAAUGU